UACGGAGGGUGCAAGCGUUAUCCGGAUUCACUGGGUUUAAAGGGUGCGUAGGCGGCCAACUAAGUCGGACGUGAAAUCCCUCGGCUUAACCGGGGAACUGCGUCCGAUACUGGAUGGCUUGAGUGUGGGAGAGGGAUGCGGAAUUCCAGGUGUAGCGGUGAAAUGCGUAGAUAUCUGGAGGAACACCGGUGGCGAAGGCGGCAUCCUGGACCAUUACUGACACUGAAUAGCGAAAGCCAGGGGAGCAAACGGG
rnacentral:rRNA from 1 species